rnacentral:rRNA from 1 species
UGAUCCGGGUUGCGGACAGUGUCUGGUGGGUAGUUUGACUGGGGCGGUCUCCUCCUAAAGAGUAACGGAGGAGCACGAAGGUUGGCUAAUCCUGGUCGGACAUCAGGAGGUUAGUGCAAUGGCAUAAGCCAGCUUGACUGCGAGCGUGACGGCGCGAGCAGGUGCGAAAGCAGGUCAUAGUGAUCCGGUGGUUCUGAAUGGAAGGGCCAUCGCUCAACGGAUAAAAGGUACUCCGGGGAUAACAGGCUGAUACCGCCCAAGAGUUCAUAUCGACGGCGGUGUUUGGCACCUCGAUGUCGGCUCAUCACAUCCUGGGGCUGAAGUAGGUCCCAAGGGUAUGGCUGUUCGCCAUUUAAAGUGGUACGCGAGCUGGGUUUAGAACGUCGUGAGACAGUUCGGUCCCUAUCUGCCGUGGGCGCUGGAGAACUGAGGGGGGCUGCUCCUAGUACGAGAGGACCGGAGUGGACGCAUCACUGGUGUUCGGGUU